rnacentral:rRNA from 1 species
UACGAGGGGGGCAAGCGUUGUUCGGAAUUAUUGGGCGUAAAGGGUGCGUAGGCGGUUUGGUAAGUCUUAUGUGAAAUCUACAGGCUCAACUUGUAGUCUGCAUGAGAAACUGCCGGGCUUGAGUAUGGGAGAGGUGAGUGGAAUUCCUGGUGUAGCGGUGAAAUGCGUAGAUAUCAGGAGGAAUACCGAUGGCGAAGGCAGGUCUCUGGGCUGAUACUGACGCUCAUGCACGAAAGCGUGGGGAGCAAACAGG